rnacentral:lncRNA from 1 species
ACUCUAGUCUUUCUUUUGAUUUUCCAGCUACUAGAUAUGAUUAAACCUGUAAUAAAUGGAGUGAAGCCUCUAUAUUACAUUCUCCAGGGAGUUUUUUGUGGUAAUUUAUUAAAUAAAAAGAUAAAUUCUGUUGGGCUAAUAUAUUUGUUUUAAUUGAGCUUUGAGGGUGUUGUACAUUUGAAUGACUUUUACCCAGUAGAUACUGAAAUAUGUUUUUUAAUUAUAAGUUUGGUGUACAUAUGUGGGAAACCAGCAAAGUUCCAUAUAGUAUAGUCUUGGCUUAGUGAGAUAAAAGUUAUAGAAGAGGACAUUGGAAAUCUAGCCACACUGUGGCUAAUAGGCUUGGUUCUCUGAAAUAAAAGUAUAAUUCAGGGCCAAUAAUGUGGAAGGCAUUGAGAAGCAUAUCCACCAAGGAGCAACAUUAUGGUCAUUUUGUCUUUGUUAUUACUUACUGCUUUAUUCUGAGAACAAUACAGGCAUUAAAGUUCUAGAAGCUUCACAGAUCAUUAAUCAUCAACAUAAAUUCAGUGAAUUAGAAUUCUUUCUUCAAAAGUAUGUGUCAACUUCAGAUUGCAGAUUUGCCAAAGCUUCAUGUAGAGCCCUUCUCUCUUUUAUCACGAGUAAAAGUUCAGGUUUAAAAUAGAACAACGGAUGACUAAUGCCAUUUCCAGCUGUGACUGAAUUCUCCACUGCCUGAUGCUUUUCAAAUGUAUCUGAAUCAGAAUCGAACACCCACUUUAUGCAUAGCUCCCUAAUCAGGAAGUUAUUCUUCCCAUCAAAGCAACUGGAAAGAAAAAAGAUAAAACAAUGAAGGGAGGAGAAAACACAAAAGUUCAAGAAGAGCAGAAUGUUCCGGCAAGGAGAAAAAGCUGGGAAAAGUCACCAAUGAAUGCCAGGGUUCACCACUAUCUUAGGAAUAUCAUGAAUAAAGCGUUAGAUUGGGUGUGCCCUAACUGAUGGUCACAAGCAUGAUACUAAUUAUCAGGGUGAACAAAGCAGGGGAGUAAGAGCAUCAGUAACUGUGAAACUCUAGGAGUUUGUCUUCAUUCUUUCAGUGAUAGACAGGGUCUCACACUGUCACUUAGGCUGGAGCACAGUGUGACAACAGCUGACUGCAGCCUCAAACUCCUGGUCUUAAGUGAUUCUUCCCACCUCGGCCUCCUGAGUAGCUGGAAUUACAGGCAUGAGCCACGGCAUCCAGCCAUAAACUCUUUUGUCACCAUUUUUCUAGAGUCAAUAUCUAGCAUUUGUAUUUCGUACAUCAUACACUUGAGUUAGUAUCUGUGGAAAGGAUAAAUACAUAAGGAAAAGAGAUGCAGGAAGCUGCAGAGACACUGGCCAUUUAUCUGAGAAGUGCCCAAUGAGGCAUCACCGGAUAAGCACACGUCGGGUCGUUCUCCUGCUUCAGUAAGGUCUGUGGCGUUGACAUUAUCAAUGCUAUGGAUGCCUCAAGGCUCUCAUAAAAAUACAUGGCUUCAGCAAUACGCAUGCAGUUAUCUCAGUUUAAAGGAAAUGGGUUCUGCUCCCUGCUUAAUAAGAAAUCCUGCUUACUUCUCCAGCUUUUGAAGCACAGAUUAUUUUUCUUCUCUUCAUCAUAUAAAAAUGGAAAUUAUCAAAACAAAACAUCAUCAAAACAAAACAUCAUCAAAAACAGGUUGCUCUCUGAGUAAAGGUUUUAUGUUUGUUUGGGAUAGAAUCUCAUUCUGUCACCCAGGCCAGAGAGCACUGACAUUAUCAUGGCUCACUGCAACCUCAAACUCCCAAGCUCAAGCGAUCCUCCCACCUCAGCCUCCCAAGUAGCUGGGACCACAGAUUCACCUGUUUGCUUCCUAAGACAGAAAAUAAAUAGGAGGAAAAGGAUCAGAGUCAAAAUUCUGAUAGGCCGCUCCAUUGGGAAGUCAAGACGGUAUCUUAAGUGCUGUAUUCCACUCGAUGCUCUAUUUUCCUGCUUGCUGCAGUAACUGUGGUUUCAUACAGAGUAUUAGAACUACCAGGGGCAAACCAGAGACAACAACAUCUACCUCAGAGUAAUAUUUUUGAGAUUAAAUG